rnacentral:rRNA from 1 species
UACGAAGGGGGCUAGCGUUGCUCGGAAUCACUGGGCGUAAAGAGUGUGUAGGCGGGUCUUUAAGUCAGGGGUGAAAUCCUGGAGCUCAACUCCAGAACUGCCUUUGAUACUGAAGAUCUUGAGUUCGGGAGAGGUGAGUGGAACUGCGAGUGUAGAGGUGAAAUUCGUAGAUAUUCGCAAGAACACCAGUGGCGAAGGCGGCUCACUGGCCCGAUACUGACGCUGAGGCACGAAAGCGUGGGGAGCAAACAGG